GAGUUUGAUCGUGGCUCAGGAUGAACGCCGGCGGUGUGCCUAAUACAUGCAAGUCGUACGCACUGGCCCAACUGAUUGAUGGUGCUUGCACCUGAUUGACGAUGGAUCACCAGUGAGUGGCGGACGGGUGAGUAACACGUAGGUAACCUGCCCCGGAGCGGGGGAUAACAUUUGGAAACAGAUGCUAAUACCGCAUAACAACAAAGGCCACAUGGCUUUUGUUUGAAAGAUGGCUUUGGCCAUCACUCUGGGAUGGACCUGCGGUGCAUUAGCUAGCUGGUAAGGUAACGGCUUACCAAGGCGAUGAUGCAUAGCCGAGUUGAGGGACUGAUCGGCCACAAUGGAACUGAGACACGGUCCAUACUCCUACGGGAGGCAGCAGUAGGGAAUCUUCCACAAUGGGCGCAAGCCUGAUGGAGCAACACCGCGUGAGUGAAGAAGGGUUUCGGCUCGUAAAGCUCUGUUGUUGGAGAAGAACGUGCGUGAGAGU
rnacentral:rRNA from 1 species